AACGCACAUUGCGCUCUAUGGUAACAUAGAGCAUGCCUGUUUGAGUAUCAUUUUUCUUACAAACCUUACUCACAGCUUUCUCUCUCUUGUUUUUUUUUCUUGAGGGUGUUUUCUGUGGAAUUUGAUAGUCUUGGAGUCCUAAUUUCCGACUCCCAGUCUUUCGAAAAAUGAAACUGUUUCAAAAAAUGGAGGUGUUUCUUCUGGACCCUCCCCAAUCGCACUUGAUUCCAAUUCAGUCGCGAUUGGUGUGUUGAGAAUUAAUAAAAAAAUUGCUUUUUCUUCUUCAACAAAAGAAAUCGCAAACUUUUUUGAAUGCUGUGGCAUUUAUUUUUUUUUAUUUUUUCUCUUUUACAACUUUUUGGUCUCAAAUCAGGCAAGACUACCCGCUGAACUUAA
rnacentral:misc_RNA from 1 species